GACGAACGCUGGCGGCGUGCCUAAUACAUGCAAGUAGAACGCUGAAGGAGGAGCUUGCUUCUCUGGAUGAGUUGCGAACGGGUGAGUAACGCGUAGGUAACCUGCCUGGUAGCGGGGGAUAACUAUUGGAAACGAUAGCUAAUACCGCAUAAUAGCAGUUGUUGCAUGAUAACUGUUUGAAAGGUGCAAUUGCACCACUACCAGAUGGACCUGCGUUAUAUUAGCUAGUUGGUGGGGUAACGGCUCACCAAGGCGACGAUACAUAGCCGACCUGGGAGGGGGAUCGGCCACACUGGGACUGAGACACGGCCCAGACUCCUACGGGAGGCAGCAGUAGGGAAUCUUCGGCAAUGGACGGAAGUCUGACCGAGCAACGCCGCGUGAGUGAAGAAGGUUUUCGGAUCGUAAAGCUCUGUUGUAAGAGAAGAACGAGUGUGAGAGUGGAAAGUUCACACUGUGACGGUAGCUUACCAGAAAGGGACGGCUAACUACGUG
rnacentral:rRNA from 1 species